rnacentral:tRNA from 1 species
GAAGGUAUAGCUCAGUGGUAGAGUGUGUGCUUAGCAUGCACGAGGUCCUGGGUUCAAUCCCCAGUACCUCCA